rnacentral:tRNA from 2 species
GCUCUCGUGGUGAAAUGGAUAUCACGGCUGGCUUCGAACCAGCUGUUCCAGGUUCGAGUCCUGGCGGGAGCACAA